rnacentral:rRNA from 1 species
GGAAACGCUGGCGGCGUGCCUAACACAUGCAAGUCGAACGAAGCAUAGCAAUAUGCUUAGUGGCGGACGGGUGAGUAACGCGUGAACAAUCUGCCCUGUACAAAGGAAUAGCCUCGGGAAACCGGGAUUAAAACCGUAUGACACUUUAGUAUCGCAUGAUAAGAAAGUCAAAUCGAUUAGAGGUAUGGGAUGAGUUCGCGUCUGAUUAGCUGGUUGGCGGGGUAACGGCCCACCAAGGCGACGAUCAGUAGCCGGCCUGAGAGGGUGAACGGCCACACUGGAACUGAGACACGGUCCAGACUCCUACGGGAGGCAGCAGUGGGGAAUAUUGCACAAUGGAGGGAACUCUGAUGCAGCGACGCCGCGUGAGUGAAGAAGGUCUUCGGAUCGUAAAACUCUGUCAGAUGGGAAGAAAUGGAUGGGGGCUAAUAUCGCCCAUCCUUGACGGUACCAUCAGAGGAAGCACCGGCUAACUCCGUG